CCAUGUUAAGAUAUAUUCUUCUCCUCGCUGUGGCCGUUAUCGCAAUUCAGGCUCGAUCACCACCAAAUUCUGACUGCCCGAUCGUUAUUUGUGCUAUGAAGAGAAUGUACUGUGAGAACGGAUUUACUAUUGGAGCUGAUGGAUGCCAAACUUGUGAAUGCAAACAGCCCCCCCACUGUCAGCCUGUAAAGUGUAAACUAUUCUGUGUUCGUGGAUUUAAAGUUGGAACUGACGGGUGUGAGAUUUGCCGCUGCAACUAACAAC